ensembl:lncRNA
CUGGAAGCUUCUCAAGGGCUGGGGUGGUUUCUGCUUUACCUCACCUUCCUCUUCAAGAACGUUGUCUAGCACACAGUAGACGUCCAUAGAAAUUUCUAGAAAGGAGCCAAAUGAUCCCUCCAGGUAGUAGCAAGGGUCAGAAGGAGUCAGCUGUGUAGACAGGCCAUGUGGACAUCUGCUUUCCCACAGGAUGAGGCCAAUGGAUGCGGGAAUGGAGGUCCCGAGAAAUCGAGGCCCACUGAGCCACGCCUGUGAUGGAGAGAGGAUGACCUUUGCUGGGUCUGUUCUUGAGGUGGUCGGGGGUGGAGGCCGGGCUGGAGGGGGUUGAGACGUGAGUGGGAGAUGUAGAAAUGGCGCUGAGGGGUGUAGACAGCCCCCUUGAGAAAGGCAGGAGAGAACGGGUCACGGCUGUGCCUGGGGUGGAGGGGAAGUGACGGGGACCCCGGAGGGGUCUUCCCUGUGGAUGAGAAGGGGCCAGGUGUGGGAGGUGCUCAGUCGGUGCUCCUGAGCUGGACGGGCUUCUCUCCGAGGCAGGGCGCCGCGGCCUUUCCCGGCCCCCUCGGGCAUGGCUGGGAAUAGCGGAGACCCCAGGGUGGUGUAUUGUUUAGGGCAGGGCGAGUGCUGUAAGCUCAACCCUGAGUGUCCCGGCUUAACCCAAGGCAGAUCUGUUUCUCCUUCAGCAACAGCUCAGUGACGUGGAGGGCGGCUCUCCCCACCAUGCUUGGGGCCCCUAGUUCCUUCCGUCUUCAGCAUGUGGCUCCCAAGGUCACUGUGGAAGGAGGAAGAAAAGGGAGAGGGCUGCGCCCCUUCCUCCUCACAUCCAGGGAAGGGCUCACAUCGCUCCUCUCCCAUUGGUGUCUAAAGUUUCUGGGUCUUUGAGGAACCCUCCUGAGGUGCUACAAGGAUCAGCAAGACGCUCCAGGCGUACAGUUGGUCCUCAGUAAGUGGGAGCCGUGGCUCUCAGUACCCGCGUCACCUCCCCCUCCAUCAUGUCGUCAGAAGUGAAAGGGCUGGAUUUCGGUUUAAGCCCAAAAUGAACAGGAUUGAUAUUGCCGGGAGAGCUUGUCUUCAGUGUUUUACGUGGCUCUUGGCGACAAUGAGAGAAGCUCAUCCGAGUCAGUAGCUGGAGGAAGGGGAGGAAGAGGAGGAGGAGGAAGAAGUGAGCCACUCUGAGUGGGGUCCUUCCGGCCCAUGCAUGCCGGAGGACCAGCAUCCUGGGGUGUUCCUGGCCUGUCCCUGAGCGCAGGUGCUGGAGUUCCCUGUGGCCGGCUGCUGUACAGCGGCUCAGACAUGCGGCUUGGUCCUCACCCCGACCCCACCGCCCGCCUCCUGCUUUCCAGGGUCUUCCGGAAGCGGCCACAGCUGGGGGUUGGGGUUAAGGCCUCUGAGUUUCUCAGGUGAAGCUGAGUCCUGAGCAAUCCCGGGCUCCGUGCUUCUGCGCUUUCUCCUCUGGGUUUCGUCCCCUCUGGGGGGGGAUGGGUUCCUGCCCCUCUCUCCACGCCUUCCUCCCUGUCCUUACUCAGCAUUCUGAGUUAUUGGUCCUGGCACUCAGUACUGCCCACUUCAGCUAAGCUUGGCUUCUUUGGGGGCCCCUGGCCACCAGCCACCUGGGGAUGGGGGCAGGGCCGGGGGCUGUGGUGGCCUCAGUGAGGGGAAAGGUUUCGAAAGGAAUGUUUCCCAGGAGGGGAACGGGCUCUCUGGGGCAGUCCGGGGCCCUCUGACCUCCAAACAAAGCCAGCCUCAGUCUGGGGCUGUGGGAAGCAGGCGGGACAAUGGGAGGAAGGAGAAAGCGGGGAGAUAAAGCGGGGCCCAGGGUCUGUGCCGGGAUCCAGAGGAGGCUUCGUGUAAACACGGGCUGGGCUUCCUGGCUCAGGGGCCGGCUGCCUUUAUGGUGAUGUUAUUGUUGAGAUAAUUAGGCCAUUUCAGGAGAAGCCUCAGCAAAGACUAAGUGUCUGAUGCUUCCCCAGGG